GACGAACGCUGGCGGCGUGCCUAACACAUGCAAGUCGAGCGAAUGAAGUUCCUUCGGGAACGGAUUUAGCGGCGGACGGGUGAGUAACACGUGGGCAACCUGCCUCAUAGAGGGGAAUAGCCUUCCGAAAGGGAGAUUAAUACCGCAUAAGAUUGUAGUACCGCAUGGUGUAGCAAUUAAAGGAGCAAUCCGCUAUGAGAUGGGCCCGCGGCGCAUUAGCUAGUUGGUGAGGUAACGGCUCACCAAGGCGACGAUGCGUAGCCGACCUGAGAGGGUGAUCGGCCACAUUGGGACUGAGACACGGCCCAGACUCCUACGGGAGGCAGCAGUGGGGAAUAUUGCACAAUGGGGGAAACCCUGAUGCAGCAACGCCGCGUGAGUGAUGACGGCCUUCGGGUUGUAAAGCUCUGUCUUCAGGGACGAUAAUGACGGUACCUGAGGAGGAAGCCACGGCUAACUACGUGCCAGCCGCCGCGGUAAAAC
rnacentral:rRNA from 1 species